rnacentral:rRNA from 1 species
CGGGGGGCAGCAGUGGGGAAUAUUGGGCAAUGGAGGAAACUCUGACCCAGCGACGCCGCGUGCGGGAUGAAGGCCUUCGGGUUGUAAACCGCUUUCAGUAGGGAAGAAGCGAAAGUGACGGUACCUACAAAAGAAGCACCGGCUAACUAUGUGCCAGCAGCCGCGGUAAUACAUAGGGUGCAAGCGUUGUCCGGAAUUAUUGGGCGUAAAGAGCUCGUAGGUCGUUUGUUACGUCGGAUGUGAAAACCUGAGGCUCAACCUCAGGCCUGCAUUCGAUACGGGCAAACUAGAGUUUGGUAGGGGAGACUGGAAUUCCUGGUGUAGCGGUGGAAUGCGCAGAUAUCAGGAGGAACACCAAUGGCGAAGGCAGGUCUCUGGGCCAAUACUGACACUGAGGAGCGAAAGUCUGGGGAGCAAACAGGAUUAGAUACCCGAGU